AGAGUUUGAUCAUGGCUCAGAUUGAACGCUGGCGGCAUGCUUAAUACAUGCAAGUCGAACGGUAACAGAUUCUUCGGAAUGCUGACGAGUGGCGGACGGGUGAGUAAUACAUAGGAAUCUGCCCAUGUAGUGGGGGACAACUUGGGGAAACUCAAGCUAAUACCGCAUAAUUCCUACGGGAUAAAGAGGGCCACUGCUUGCAAGCUCUUGCUACUGGAUGAGCCUAUGUCGGAUUAGUUAGUUGGUAAGGUAAUGGCUUACCAAGACAGCGAUCCGUAGCUGGUUUGAGAGGAUGACCAGCCACACUGGGACUGAGACACGGCCCAGACUCCUACGGGAGGCAGCAGUAGGGAGUAUUGGACAAUGGGCGCAAGCCUGAUCCAGCAAUGCCGCGUGUGUGAAGAAGGCCUGCGGGUUGUAAAGCACUUUCAAUUGGGAAGAAAGAUUAUGAGUUAAUACCUUAUAAUAUUGACG
rnacentral:rRNA from 1 species